rnacentral:rRNA from 1 species
UACGAAGGGGGCUAGCGUUGUUCGGAAUCACUGGGCGUAAAGCGCACGUAGGCGGAUCUUUAAGUCAGGGGUGAAAUCCCGAGGCUCAACCUCGGAACUGCCUUUGAUACUGGGGAUCUCGAGUCCGGGAGAGGUGAGUGGAACUGCGAGUGUAGAGGUGAAAUUCGUAGAUAUUCGCAAGAACACCAGUGGCGAAGGCGGCUCACUGGCCCGGUACUGACGCUGAGGUGCGAAAGCGUGGGGAGCAAACAGG